GUGGGGAAUAUUGGACAAUGGGCGAAAGCCUGAUCCAGCCAUGCCGCGUGUGUGAAGAAGGUCUUCGGAUUGUAAAGCACUUUAAGUUGGGAGGAAGGGCAGUAAGUUAAUACCUUGCUGUUUUGACGUUACCGACAGAAUAAGCACCGGCUAACUUCGUGCCAGCAGCUGCGGUAAUACGAAGGGUGCAAGCGUUAAUCGGAAUUACUGGGCGUAAAGCGCGCGUAGGUGGUUCAGCAAGUUGGAGGUGAAAUCCCCGGGCUCAACCUGGGAACUGCCUCCAAAACUACUGGGCUAGAGUACGGUAGAGGGUAGUGGAAUUUCCUGUGUAGCGGUGAAAUGCGUAGAUAUAGGAAGGAACACCAGUGGCGAAGGCGACUACCUGGACUGAUACUGACACUGAGGUGCGAAAGCGUGGGGAGCAAACAGGAUUAGAUACCCUAGUAGUCC
rnacentral:rRNA from 1 species